AGUGAACGCUGGCGGUAGGCCUAACACAUGCAAGUCGAACGGCAGCACAGUAAGAGCUUGCUCUUACGGGUGGCGAGUGGCGGACGGGUGAGGAAUACAUCGUAAUCUACUUUUUCGUGGGGGAUAACGUAGGGAAACUUACGCUAAUACCGCAUACGACCUACGGGUGAAAGCAGGGGAUCUUCGGACCUUGCGCGAUUGAAUGAGCCGAUGUCGGAUUAGCUAGUUGGCGGGGUAAAGGCCCACCAAGGCGACGAUCCGUAGCUGGUCUGAGAGGAUGAUAGGCCACACUGGAACUGAGACACGGUCCAGACUCCUACGGGAGGCAGCAGUGGGGAAUAUUGGACAAUGGGCGCAAGCCUGAUCCAGCCAUACCGCGUGGGUGAAGAAGGCCUUCGGGUUGUAAAGCCCUUUUGUUGGGAAAGAAAAGCAGCAGGUUAAUACCCCGCUGUUCUGACGGUACCCAAAGAAUAAGCACCGGCUAACUUCGUG
rnacentral:rRNA from 1 species